rnacentral:piRNA from 1 species
UAAAUGUUAAAGAAGUCUGGUUCCUGAGA